UUUAAGCAGUUGAGAGAAAAAGGGAAGGAUGAUCGCAGAGAAAUCUCUUUCUUCUUCUUUUACCGAGAGCGAUUCAAAAUGGGGGACGUAAUAUAUACUCUCAGAUCUGUGGACUCUAAUUUGAAUCCGAUUUGUGCGAUAAUCGGACUCGUCUUCUCUCUCUCUUCUCAACGACCGUAACGUCGUCCUUAAAUGCGCCGAAAUUCAGAAUACCAGAUCUGAAGGUUUGCAUAUGGUCGACGAUAUAUUUCAUCUCCAACCUCGUUGUACUUUUUGGCUGAAGUCGUUGAUUGACACUUCUAUGGUUUUUCCUCGAUUUUGUUGACAUAGGUAUUUUCUUCGUUCAUUAUUAGUAUGAUAAUGAGAACUUGUGAUUUUGGAACUUGACAAAUAUUAAGUAUAAAAGAAUACUUCAUUUCUGCA